rnacentral:rRNA from 1 species
AUGCCGCGUGCAGGAAGAUGCCCUAUGGGUAGUAAACUGCUUUUAUACGGGAAGAAAAAAGAGUACGUGUACUCUACUGACGGUACCGUAAGAAUAAGGACCGGCUAACUCCGUGCCAGCAGCCGCGGUAAUACGGAGGGUCCGAGCGUUAUCCGGAAUUAUUGGGUUUAAAGGGUCCGUAGGCGGGCCGAUAAGUCAGGGGUGAAAGUUUGCAGCUCAACUGUAAAAUUGCCUUUGAUACUGUUGGUCUUGAGUUAUAGUGAAGUUGCCGGAAUAUGUAGUGUAGCGGUGAAAUGCAUAGAUAUUACAUAGAACACCGAUUGCGAAGGCAGGUGACUAACUAUAUACUGACGCUGAUGGACGAAAGCGUGGGGAGCGAACAGGAUUAGAUACCCUGGUAGUCCAUCNNCGUCAGUAUAUAGUUAGUCACCUGCCUUCGCAAUCGGUGUUCUAUGUAAUAUCUAUGCAUUUCACCGCUACACUACAUAUUCCGGCAACUUCACUAUAACUCAAGACCAACAGUAUCAAAGGNNAUUU